AUGAAUAUGUAUGAAAAUAAUCAAUUGUUUUGUUUUUGGACCCCAUCGAUGGUCCGAAUGCUGUGUGUGUGGAUGUCAGAGUGCUUUUUGGCCAAAGUGGGCUUGGCAGUGGCAGUGGCGGUGGCGGUGAUCAGGGGCAGGCCGCAGGGCGUCGACCUCCGCCGGCACAUCCAGGCUUUGUCGGCGAGGCUGAGGGAGAGCGCGCGGACGCGGAGGAGUGAAGCGGAGGAGCCGGGGCGGCAGGCGCCUGGGCGGGGGGCCUCGCUGGUCGCCACGACAAUAGCAAGCGCAGGUCAUGCUGUCAGCACGGAGAGCGAGGGCACCGCAGGCCACCGCACAGGCACGCCAAAACUCUCUCAGCUUCUUUGCUGCCGCCGCCGCCCGCUUCCUGAGCCGCUUGACCUUUGCGUGGCGGUGACGACGGGGGGGUGUCACACGGCAAAGUCCUUUCUGGUGGCUCGCAUCCUGUCGGAGGUCAGCGUGCUGGCUGACAGACUGUGCCUCGCGAUCCACGAGAACACCAGCGUGGACAAGAUUCCCGUGGACAACUACGGCCAGGCGCUGCGCCUGCUGCGGAUGGCGGAGGAGCUGCUGCUGGGCGAGCGGCGACCGGCGUCUUGGCCGCAGCGUUUUUCUUCAAACCUUAACCCACACACGUUGGCGGCCGUCAAAGCCCGGUCCUGACUCGUACGCCACUCCUAUGUCAGCAAGGCCAGCGACGGCGUCUCACCUCGGGCGCGGGCUUUAGCCAGAACCUCCACGUGCUUGACGGCAGCUUUCAUCACGUGGUCGCCGAAGACAGCCGGGAGGUCUACCUGCAGACAGCGUGCACGUUCAACACCGAGCCGGCCGCUCCUUGGCGGCCGACGGAAGCUGACGACGCCACCUUCCGAGCUCUGCGGACCAACACGGACGCUAGGAAGCGGAAGCUCAAACGAAGCUCGUCCACGCACGCCUCGUCAUCCGUGAUGUCCCUGCGGCCCAUGACGGAGCAUGACAGGUGCCGCAAACCUACCGAUGCCGCUUGCAUUUCACCUUCCCGCACACGGCACAGCUGCGACCCAAAGGAAACAGCUCCGGUUCCUGACACUGGCGCACGCGAGAGAGAGUCAUCCUCAACAUCAUCAUCAUCAUCAUCCUCAACAUCCUCCUCCUCCUCAACAUCAUCCUCCUCCUCAACAUCAUCCUCCUCAACAUCAUCAUCCUCAUGAGAAUGCAGCUCACCUUGCGUGGCGCUUUGCUCGCGAACAAGACAUUUGGGAGCCGUGACUCGGGUUCCAGAGCCCAAUAGAAGGUAACCACACCCACUAAGAAAGACCACAAUCCAAUUAGGAUGUGGAGGUACCUGCAAAAUAGCAUGGCGACAACUUAAUUCAAAACAGUCAACCCUGGCAUGUUUGUGUUAGCAAAUUGAAUUCAGCCUAAAACCAACUGUAACCCAUAACUGGUGACUUAGAGAAAGGGAGGUUGGAAAGAAAAACAAGAUGCGUGUACAAGACUGGUACUUGAACAAAUAAAUAAGCAAGCGUUAAACAAAGAUUGUAAUUUUAAAAACGUGUAUUUAUAUUUCAUAUUUAUUCAUUCACAAAUGUGAUUUAAGGGUUAAAAACGGGACCUAACGUAAAUACGGUUUUGACAAGCCGUCCAGACACACAUUGGAAAAAAGAAAAGAAGAUUCUUGCAUUUGAGGAAGACGGGAACGUGAUGUGACGUCACUCGAGAAUGCCGCCCCAAGGGUUAGGGUUAGCAAUGGAAAAAAGUUUGUAACAACGCGAUUUGUACCGAUGACGGUGAAGCAAUGCCAUUGUGUCUCUGUAUGGAGUUAUUUGGUGUCAUGGAAUGUUUUGAAGACAACUUAUUUAUUUGAUGUGAACCAAGAGCGAUUGCUGGAGGUCAAGAAGUGUUGAACAACAAAUGGUUGACCGAAAUCGUCCAUCUUUGUUGUUUCCAUUCGGUCGGAAGGGAACAACCCGAGUGGGAUACAUUUCCGACUUCCCAGCUUCCUCGAAUGCAGCAUUGACCCCCGAAGCACAAAAGGUGACGUCCGAUGACGUAGGACGCUGACCUGUGGAACAGGAUUGUGGCGGCCAACAAGGCGGCGAGCAGGCAGCUGGCGAGCGGAAACUGACGAGCCCAAGUGAGGAACGCGGUCAGUCGUAGAGCUCGCCAUAAAGCCGACAAAACAGCCAUCUUGUCGCCCCUUAACAAACAACGCACCUCAAGUACAAAGUUCCAAGCGAGCGCACCAAUUCAAAUAAGAGUGCGAACGAGCAGCAACUGUUGGUUGAAAACGACACAAACGGAAACGUCCUGCCGGCUACGACUAAAGACUCUUAAAAGCGAUUAAAGGAGCGGCGUGUUUUGUCACCCCAAAAGCAAAUCGAAGCAUUCUUAUCGUUAGCUCAUCC